AUUGAACGCUGGCGGCAGGCUUAACACAUGCAAGUCGAGCGAGCGGCGGACGGGUGAGUAAUGUAUGGGGAACUGCCCGAUAGAGGGGGAUAACUACUGGAAACGGUAGCUAAUACCGAAUACUAUCGGAUGACCCCAUAUGGGAUUAGCUAGUAGGUGGGGUAACGGCUCACCUAGGCGACGAUCCCUAGCUGGUCUGAGAGGAUGAACAGCCAGACUGGGACUGAGAGACGGCCCAGACUCCUACGGGAGGCAGCAGUGGGGAAUAGUGACCAAUGGGCGCAAGCCUGAUGCAGCCAUGCCGCGUGUGUGAAGAAGGCCUUAGGGUUGUAAAGCACUGUCAGCGGGGAGGAGUGACGCGCAGAAGAAGCACCGGCUAACUCCGUGCCAGCAGCCGCGGUAAUUC
rnacentral:rRNA from 1 species